rnacentral:rRNA from 1 species
CAGUAGCCGCGGGAAUACGAAGGGGGCUAGCGUUGUUCGGAUUUACUGGGCGUAAAGGGCGCGUAGGCGGGCUGAUCAGUCAGGGGUGAAAUCCCAAGGCUCAACCUUGGAACUGCCUUUGAUACUGUCGGUCUUGAGUUCGAGAGAGGUAAGUGGAACUGCGAGUGUAGAGGUGAAAUUCGUAGAUAUUCGCAAGAACACCAGUGGCGAAGGCGGCUUACUGGCUCGAAACUGACGCUGAGGCGCGAAAGCGUGGGGAGCAAACAGGAUUAGAUACCCCCGUAGUCCCUGUCUCUUAUAC